CUGCAUGCUAAUCAUUAGUGGCUGCAGGUCAGCCGUCCGGGGUCACACCAAAAAAGGCAGAAACUCUGUUUUGGCCAUGCAUCUUCUCAAAAGCGUCCAGAGCAUAUUGGAGCUGCAUCUGCUCCUGCAGGAACAGUAGAUUUCCAGACGUUGUGGAGAAAGUUAAGGUUUGCUGAAAAAGAAAGUGAGUUCUGCAACCAGAAUGACAAACUACACCAGCGGCUGAAAAGGCACAUCCUGCACACGUGCAGGCAGAGCUCCUCUGGAGAAGGCAGAGGCUGUGGGUUUGAGGGGAAACGGGUGAGCAGGCGGCAGUUAGAGAAGGGGUGUGGAAAAUGUGCAGGGAGGGGGGCGACUGAAGAAGUCCAGCCAUAUAAAAAGGGAGACAGAACACAGGCCGUGCUUUAUUCUCCCCGUCUGUCCUGCUCGCUCAGACCUCACAGGAAACCUCCAACUCCCCCGGCUCUCCAGCUCGCCUCCACUUCCCACACUUUUUUGAACUUUCUCAGGCGGUCCCGCCAGCUGUGCUUCAUCUGGGAGGAUGGCUACGUCCAUGCUGGGAAUGAAUGGGCUCUGCAGAAUAGCUGGAGCUCUGCUGCUCUUCGCUCUACUGAGGAGGGAAUGCAAUUCCAGGAGGGGAGACUUUCUGCAGCUGCAACCCCCAGCUCCCCCCAACACCCCUCCCUCUCUCUAUGUCCCCUCCCUGGUUACUCAAGGGAGGAAGCAGGCCUCAUCUUCACAUGCUAUAAAUGA
rnacentral:lncRNA from 1 species